GACGAACGCUGGCGGCGUGCUUAACACAUGCAAGUCGAACGGAAAGGCCUGCUUUCCCUUGUGGAUUGCGGGUACUCGAGUGGCGAACGGGUGAGUAACACGUGAGUGAUCUGCCCCCAACUUGGGUAUAAGCCUGGGAAACUGGGUCUAAUUCCCGAUAGGACUGCAGGGUGGUGCCUGUGGUGGAAAACGAUUUUCUAGUGGUUGGGGAUGAGCUCGCGGCCUAUCAGCUUGUUGGUGGGGUAAUGGCCUACCAAGGCGGCGACGGGUAGCCGGCCUGAGAGGGUGGACGGCCACAUUGGGACUGAGAUACGGCCCAGACUCCCACGGGAGGCAGCAGUGGGGAAUAUUGCACAAUGGGCGGAAGCCUGAUGCAGCGACGCCGCGUGGGGGAUGACGGCCUUCGGGUUGUAAACUCCUUUCGACCGCGAGGAAGCCACCUGGUUGGAAGGGUGGUGACGGUAGUGGUAGAAGAAGCACCGGCUAACUACGUG
rnacentral:rRNA from 1 species